rnacentral:rRNA from 1 species
AAAUUGAAGAGUUUGAUCAUGGCUCAGAUUGAACGCUGGCGGCAGGCCUAACACAUGCAAGUCGAACGGUAACAGGAAGCAGCUUGCUGCUUCGCUGACGAGUGGCGGACGGGUGAGUAAUGUCUGGGAAACUGCCUGAUGGAGGGGGAUAACUACUGGAAACGGUAGCUAAUACCGCAUAACGUCGCAAGACCAAAGAGGGGGACCUUCGGGCCUCUUGCCAUCGGAUGUGCCCAGAUGGGAUUAGCUUGUUGGUGGGGUAACGGCUCACCAAGGCGACGAUCCCUAGCUGGUCUGAGAGGAUGACCAGCCACAC